rnacentral:rRNA from 1 species
AACGAACGCUGGCGGCAUGCCUAAUACAUGCAAGUCGAACGAGAAAGUUCCUUCGGGAGCGAGUAAAGUGGCGCACGGGUGAGUAACACGUAGGUGACCUACCUAGUAGAGUGGGAUAACAGUAAGAAAUUAUUGCUAAUACCGCAUAAGUUCGCUGAAAGUGGAAGUAAGCGAAGAAAAGAUGGCCUCUAUUUAUAAGCUAUCGCUACAUGAAGGGCCUGCGGCUCAUUAGCUAGUUGGUGGGGUAAAGGCCUACCAAGGCUAUGAUGAGUAGCCGGUCUGAGAGGAUGAUCGGCCACACUGGAACUGAGACACGGUCCAGACUCCUACGGGAGGCAGCAG